UACGUAGGGUGCGAGCGUUAAUCGGAAUUACUGGGCGUAAAGCGUGCGCAGGCGGUUUUGUAAGCCAGAUGUGAAAGCCCCGGGCCUAACCUGGGAAUGGCAUUUGGGACUGCAAGGCUGGAGUGUGGCAGAGGAGACUGGAAUUCCUGGUGUAGCAGUGAAAUGCGCAGAUAUCAGGAGGAACACCGAUUGCGAAGGCAGCUCGCUGGGACGUGACUGACGCUGAGACGCGAAAGCGUGGGGAGCAAACAGG
rnacentral:rRNA from 1 species